GAUGAACGCUAGCGAUAGGCCUAACACAUGCAAGUCGAGGGGCAUCACAUGAAGUAGCAAUACGGAUGGUGGCGACCGGCGCACGGGUGAGUAACACGUAUGCAACCUGCCUUCAACAAGGGGAUAACCCGUUGAAAGACGGACUAAUACCCUAUAACACAGGGGUCCCGCAUGGGAAUAUUUGUUAAAGGACAACCGGUUGAAGAUGGGCAUGCGUUCCAUUAGCUAGUUGGCGGGGUAACGGCCCACCAAGGCAACGAUGGAUAGGGGAACUGAGAGGUUUAUCCCCCACACUGGUACUGAGACACGGACCAGACUCCUACGGGAGGCAGCAGUGAGGAAUAUUGGUCAAUGGACGCAAGUCUGAACCAGCCACGUCGCGUGAAGGAAGACGGCCCUACGGUUGUAACUUACUUUGCAAGGAAGUAAGUGGGCCACGUGUGGCCUUUUGCAAGUACCUUGCGAAUAAG
rnacentral:rRNA from 1 species